GGCGAAAUGGCCGAGUGGUUAAGGCGUCAGAUUUAAGUCGCUUGAAUCCUGAUGGGUGCAAACCUGCGCGAGUUCGAUCCUCGCUUUCGCCA